ACUGAGUCACUACAUUCCAAUCAAUAUGUGUAUACCCUCAACAACAUGGCAGUCUGCCCAAGAGAGGAGACAGUUGCAGAAGCCUAAGAAUGGGUUGUCCUUGCUGGACCAUGGAGGGAGAAUACAUGCACAGUUGCCUUGCACUAUGACAUCUAUUUGCCCCUGAAACCAGAAAUCAAGAUCACCAGUUCCACGGAACCGAACCACAGUAAGAGAUCCACAAGAUGGCAGAAAAGCAUCCAGAAUGAUGGUAGUGGUCCAAAGCAAUUGAUUCAGCAUCCUGAUGAAGGGCAGUCUAAACAAACAACAGUUGGAGACAGACACAAUAGAGCAAGAGCAAGUGCCACGAGUAGAAGCAGACAAAAAAAAUUGGAGGGAAAAAAUGGUGAGGGUGGAGAGGAAGAAACAUUUUGCACACUUUUUUGGUUGUGAAAAAGAUCUGCAAGUUUGAACCAGGCCUCUCCCUGCCCCAAUCAGAAAGCAGCUAUGAAGAGGCAGCCUAUACAGAGUGGAAGUUUAAAGAAAUAACUGGAGGCGGCAUGCUUCAGUUUAGUAGAGAAUCACUCCUUCAGAUUACAAGUCUGAUUUAGAAAUGGAAGGAAAGAGAUACACAGGUAUGCGUAAAAUGGAACUGAGCAGGUAACCAACAGACAGAAUUCAAAGAAACAUAGUGAACAAAUUAGCUUUAGAUUAAAAAAAAUAAUUACAAAGAGUGACCACUAAAGGAUUAACAUCAAUAGUAUCAUUAAACUGCUAUUUAAAAAGAUCAGGACAAUUGGAUGGGGAAAGAGGAAGCAAUAAAUACAAAUUAGUGGGAAUACAAGAAAAUAAAAGAUGCAAGAACAACAGAGAACACCAAGUUAUGGUCAAGUCUUGACGUGGUGCUGGCAAGAGCAAGAAGCACAGAGGGAAGUGCUAUCAUUAAUAAAAUAAUAACAACAACAACAACUCAGAAGAGACACAGAUAGUCACCCUUACUUCCAGACAAAGUGAUACUUAUAGCCAUAUAAGUGCCUUCCAAGCCUGAAAAAUCAACUUUAACGUUACACUUUAAGAAAACUCAAGAUAUUAGAAAGUAUGAAAAAGCAGUUACCCAAACAACCUCCCACUCCCAUC